rnacentral:sRNA from 1 species
UAUUGUACUUUGCAGGUGAUAGAUC